CUCACACGCAGGCAGCCUCCCUCCUCUCUUGUUUUGGCUUUCCACUCCUGAGCUAGGGCCGCCGCCGCCGCCGCUGCCGCCCCAUCGCUCCUCCGGCGCUGGCCAUCGAAGGAAGGUCAUCUUCUCCUCUUGGUGGCUUCCUCAUAGCAAGGUUGGGCGCUACUCCUCCGCACAGCCCCGUCGGCAAUAACGAGAAGGCGGGCGGCGCCGCGAGCUCUCGUCCCGAGGAAACCGCAGGAGGACGAGGUUGAUGCGGUCGUCCGCGGCUCCUCCGACGGCGAGGCCAGCCUCCUUUUCACCUCUGCUAGACCCGCAGGUCCAGACUAUUUGGAAGUGAAACGUCAAACCCUGGUGAUUUGGGUCUGUGUUCAAGGGGAGGCAAGUCUAGAUUUGCAUUUGUUUUCUCAUGGUGUUGUACUUACUAUAGUAAAAUUAUAAAUUUUGACUGGAUGGUGAGAAAUCUGUGAAUGUGUAUUGAGAAAUCAAUACAAAGCUUCCAAGUUUUUAUGCAAUCUUGAGCAUUUUCCCACUACUAAAAGUGAUAGUUACAGUGUGUGAUGAAUUUCUGAAUAAGAUAGUUAAGCUUCUAUAUGAUUCAGGCUUUGACAAAAUAAAGAUUCGCAUAGUAGCCAUAAUUCUUCUCUCUCUCUCUCUCUCUCUCUCUCUCUCUCUUUGCCUCCUUUUAGACUCUAUACUAGCCCCUCUCAUACUACUUCACUACCAUCAUUUAUCACAUUGUACACUGGGCGAUCAAACUAAUAUCCAUAUAUCUUGCAUCAAUAUUGUAGUUAUUGAUGACAUAGCUUAUGAGGAAAGACCAUGGUAAAUGAAGAGACAACGUUACACUGGCUUCUAUCUCUGUGAGGUCAGUAGCAAUAUGGUCAUUUGAUGCAACAAACCAGAGGAACAAGUCCAGGUUCAUCAAUCAUAGUUGUGAACCAAACACGGAGAUGCAGAAAUGGACUGUAGGUGGAUAGACCAGAGUUAAUUUCUCAAGCAAGUGGAGGUCCAGUGGCAUGAGAGCAAGAUUGUUAAAGGUCCAAGUCUGUGUAGGUCCUUAGUUAUAUUUCUGGCCAGGAGAAGGAAGAAGUGUUGCUUGACUGGAAUGAGAUUGCAGAGAAAUUUGGAUGUCAUUUGCUACAUCAAGUAGUCUGGUGUGAUCUCCACAUUCACACGAAAUAUACUUAUGUGAAGUUCAAUUUUAUUGUU